rnacentral:misc_RNA from 1 species
AAAGGUAUUGCUGCCGGAAUGCAGAACACUGGUUAAAACCUGUGUUAUUCUGCAUCCUCUUUAUCUUUUCAUGGCUUUUCUAUAUAUAGGUUUUGCCCAAAAUGCAGAAAUUAUAGCUUACCGUAAGUGGAUGCUGUUUAAAUUAUCCACCUUGAGGAUAAAAAUUCGGGCAAACUUUUUCCAGUUGUAUGAGUGUUUGGUGUACUUGGAUACUCCUUAGGGCCACCAGUGUUUGUUGGGGCCUCGUAAAGAGUGGAACUUUGCUCAAAUGGCUACUAAUAGUAUUAAAGCAU